GCAGCCACCUUUUAAAACGCGUCAAAGCGUAACCUUAACCCCCCAAAUUCCAUUAAUUUUCAUGAACCCCUAAUUUAUAAUGAAUGACUCCAUAUUUAUAUGGAAGACACCAUGCUAGGAUUAGUAACAAGAAUUUAUAAUUCUCCAAAAUGCAAAUAUAAACCAACAUGGAUGGACCAUUGGUAGUUACCGAACCUAAAUUUUAUGCAAUAACACCCACAAGAAAACUCUGCAGUACUUACUCGUUAACCUAACACCAGCGCAUUACAGGAAAGAUUAAAAAAAAGAGAAGGAAUUCGGCAAAUGACGGCCCCGCCUGUUUACCAAAAACAUCGCCUCUUGACUUAUAAUAAGAGGUCCAGCCUGCCCAGUGAAUUUUAAACGGCCGCGGUAUCCUAACCGCGCGAAGGUAGCAUAAUCACUUGUUCUUUAAAUGGGGACUCGUAUCAACGGCAUCACGAGGGUUUUACUGUCUCCUCUUUUUGAUCAGUGAAAUUGAUCUUCCCGUGAAGAAGCGGGAAUAAAUUUAUAAGACGAGAAGACCCCAUGGAGCUUUAAACCAAGUAACAACUUAACCACUUAUCCCAUAAUAAAUUUAAACCCUGUUAUAAGGUUUUUGGUUGGGGUGACCGCGGAGUAAAGCACAUCCUCCACGACGGAAAGAACAAAAUCUUUAUUUAAGAACCACACUUCUAGAAAUUAGUAUACUAACGUUUACUGACCCGACAAUCGAUCAACGGACCAAGUUACCCUGGGGAUAACAGCGCAAUCUACUUCAAGAGCCCAUAUCGACAAGUAGGCUUACGACCUCGAUGUUGGAUCAGGGUAUCCCGGUGGUGCAGCCGCUACCGAAGGUUCGUUUGUUCAACGAUUAAAACCCUACGUG
rnacentral:rRNA from 1 species